UCCGAGUUGACCCCGGCAGUCUCCUAUGAGUCCCCGCCAUAACGCGCUGGCAACAUAGAACGAGGGUUGCGCUCGUUGCGGGACUUAACCCAACACCUCACGACACGAGCUGACGACAGCCAUGCAGCACCUGUCUCCGGUCCAGCCGAACUGAAAGGCUCCAUCUCUGGUGCCCGCGACCGGGAUGUCAAAGGCUGGUAAGGUUCUGCGCGUUGCUUCGAAUUAAACCACAUGCUCCACCGCUUGUGCGGGCCCCCGUCAAUUCCUUUGAGUUUCAUUCUUGCGAACGUACUCCCCAGGUGGGAUACUUAAUGCGUUAGCUACGGCGCGGAAAACGUGGAAUGUCCCCCACACCUAGUGCCCAACGUUUACGGCAUGGACUAC
rnacentral:misc_RNA from 1 species